CCUACGGGUGGCAGCAGUGAGGAAUAUUGGUCAAUGGACGAGAGUCUGAACCAGCCAAGUAGCGUGAAGGAUGACUGCCCUAUGGGUUGUAAACUUCUUUUAUAUGGGAAUAAAACGUUCCACGUGUGGGAUUUUGUAUGUACCAUAUGAAUAAGGAUCGGCUAACUCCGUGCCAGCAGCCGCGGUAAUACGGAGGAUCCGAGCGUUAUCCGGAUUUAUUGGGUUUAAAGGGAGCGUAGGUGGAUUGUUAAGUCAGUUGUGAAAGUUUGCGGCUAAACCGUAAAAUUGCAGUUGAAACUGGCAGUCUUGAGUACAGUAGAGGUGGGCGGAAUUCGUGGUGUAGCGGUGAAAUGCUUAGAUAUCACGAAGAACUCCGAUUGCGAAGGCAGUUCACUGGACUGCAACUGACACUGAGGCUCGAAAGUGUGGGUAUCAAACAGGAUUAGAUACCCUUGUAGUC
rnacentral:rRNA from 1 species